rnacentral:rRNA from 1 species
AGUGAACGCUGGCGGCAGGCCUAAUACAUGCAAGUCGAACGGCAGCACAGUGGAGCUUGCUCCAUGGGUGGCGAGUGGCGGACGGGUGAGGAAUACGUGGGAAUCUGCCCAGUCGUGGGGGAUAACGUAGGGAAACUUACGCUAAUACCGCAUGCGCCCUUCGGGGGAAAGCCGGGGACCUUCGGGCCUGGCGCGAUCGGAUGAGCCCACGUCGGAUUAGCUAGUUGGCGGGGUAACGGCCCACCAAGGCGACGAUCCGUAGCUGGUCUGAGAGGAUGAUCAGCCACACUGGAACUGAGACACGGUCCAGACUCCUACGGGAGGCAGCAGUAGGGAAUAUUGGACAAUGGGCGCAAGCCUGAUCCAGCCAUGCCGCGUGAGUGAAGAAGGCCUUCGGGUUGUAAAGCUCUUUUGUCCGGAAAGAAAAGCUUCGGGUUAAUACCCUGGAGUCCUGACGGUACCGGAAGAAUAAGCACCGGCUAACUUCGUGCCAGCAGCCGCAGUAAAAC